GACGAACGCUGGCGGUGUGCUUAACACAUGCAAGUGGUGCGACGAACCAGAGCUUGCUCUGGGGCAAAGUCGCGAACGGGUGAGUAACACGUGGGUAAUCUACCCCGAUGACCGGGACAACCCGAGGAAACUCGGGCUAAUACCGGAUGUGGUACGGAGACAUAAGUCUCUUUACUAAAGGUAGCUUCGGCUUCCGCAUUGGGAGGGGCCCGCGGCCCAUUAGCUAGUUGGUGGGGUCAAGGCCUACCAAGGCAACGAUGGGUAGCUGGUCUGAGAGGACGAUCAGCCACACUGGGACUGAGACACGGCCCAGACUCCUACGGGAGGCAGCAGUGGGGAAUCUUGCGCAAUGCGCGAAAGCGUGACGCAGCAACACCGCGUGAGGGAAGACGGCCUUAGGGUUGUAAACCUCUUUCAGAUGGGACGAAGGUGAUGCGGUGAAUAGCCGAUGUCAUUGACGGUACCGUCA
rnacentral:rRNA from 1 species